CCCCCACAACCCCCCUUCUCAUCACCACUUAUAAUGGCACACAAGGGCUCCCUCUGAGGUGGACGGCCCGAUGCAUAGGGAGUCCCUGACCCCGUGACGUUUGGGAACAAGUGGAACUCACGCAGAGGCAUCCAGGUAUUUCCAGAGACUGACGAGCGAGGUCUGCAAUCCCUUCCUAACAGCAGUUCUUUGUUCUAUAGAUGAGGAAACUGAGGCACAGAGAUUAAGGAAUUUGCCCUACGUUUCCUGGUCACAGAACAUUGGUCAACCCAUCAUCAUCAACUCAGUUGGCUGAUUUCUGCCUUCGGUACAACUUCUUAGAUGGACCAACCACACAGCCAUUCCUCUCUUGGGUCUCAUGGUCUUCCUCUCAAGAAUUUUUCCAGGGUAACGGGAUCCAAGUUCUGUUCGCCUCUCCACUCUGCUGCCUGCAACAGCUGCUUUACACACA